AGACGUGAUUAAUACCUUCAUUGGUUUGUCCUAACGUCGAUAACUGAGCCUCGUGAACUGUCCCAAUUGAUUGUAGCGCAAUCGCUCAUACCACAAUACAUUGCCAGGCAGUGAAGACAGAACUCUAUUUGGAGAUUCUGAAUUGACUGAAUACCUGAACACCUGGUCUCAAAUCAGACAAGAAUACCCGCUGAACUUAA
rnacentral:misc_RNA from 1 species